AGGGUUUGAUCCUGGCUCAGAACGAACGCUGGCGGCGUGGCUAAGACAUGCAAGUCGAACGGACUAUAUGACUGAGUAAUCAUGACUAUAGUUAGUGGCGAAAGGGUUAGUAAUGGAUAGGUAACGUACCCCGAUCUCUGGGGUAGCCAUCCGAGAGGAUGGGUAAUACCGGAUAAUAUCACAGACUGAUAGGUUUGUGAUCAAAGAUUCAUCGGACUGGGAGCGGCCUAUCUCCUAUCAGCUAGUUGGUAAGGUAAUGGCUUACCAAGGCAAUGACGGGUAGCGGGACUGAGAGGUUGGCCCGCAACAUCGGGACUGAGACACUGCCCGGACCUCCACGGAGGGCUGCAGUAACGAAUAUUGCGCAAUGGGCGAAAGCCUGACGCACGACGCCGCGUGUAGGAUGAAGUCCCUCGGGAUGUAAACUACUGUCAGGGGUAAGAAAGUGCGUUUCGGCGCAUUGAUCUAACCCAUAGGAAGUCACGGCUAACUUCGUGCCAGCAGCCGCGGUAAGACGAAGGUGGCUAGCGUUGUUCGGUGUCACUGGGCUUAAAGAGUAUGUAGGCGGAAAGAUAAGCGUCUUGUGAAAUCCCUCAGCUUAACUGAGGAAUUGCUGGGCGAACUGUCUUUCUUGAGGCAAGUAGGGGUGCAUGGAACUCUUGGUGGAGCGGUGGAAUGCGUAGAUAUCAAGAGGAACGCCGAUGGUGAAGACAGUGCACUAGGCUUGUCCUGACGCUGAGAUACGAAAGCGUGGGGAGCAAACAGGAUUAGAUACCCUGGUAGUCCACGCCGUAAACGAUGCCUACUAGGCUGUGGGGGUUCUGACGCCUUCACGGCCGAAGCAAAGUGUUAAGUAGGCCGCCUGGGGAGUACGGUCGCAAGGCUAAAACUCAAAGGAAUUGACGGGGGCUCACACAAGCGGUGGAGCAUGUGGAUUAAUUCGAAUCAACGCGCAGAACCUUACCUAGGCUUGACAUGCUUGGAUGCCCAUCUGGAAACAGAGUAGGCUGCCCUUCGGGGUGAAACUUGCACAGGUGCUGCAUGGCUGUCGUCAGCUCGUGUCGUGAGAUGUUGGGUUAAGUCCUUAAACGAGCGAAACCCUUGCCCUUAGUUACCAGCGGUUCGGCCGGGAACUCUAAGGGGACUGCCGGUGUUAAACCGGAGGAAGGUGGGGAUGACGUCAAGUCCUCAUGGCCUUUAUGUCUAGGGCUUCACACGUGCUACAAUGGCAACGACAGAGCGAUGCGAGACCGCGAGGUGGAGCUAAUCGCAAAAACGUUGUCCCAGUACGGAUUGUAGGCUGUCAACUCGCCUGCAUGAAGUUGGAAUCGCUAGUAAUCGCGUAUCAGCUAUGACGCGGUGAAUGUGUUCCUGAGCCUUGUACACAC
rnacentral:rRNA from 1 species